rnacentral:rRNA from 1 species
CCUACGGGUGGCAGCAGUAGGGAAUUUUGCGCAAUGGGGGAAACCCUGACGCAGCAACGCCGCGUGAACGAUGAAGCCCUUCGGGGUGUAAAGAUCUGUCAGUGUGGACGUAACCUGUCGGUACCCACAGAGUAUGCAUCGGCUAACUCCGUGCCAGCAGCCGCGGUAAGUCGGGGGGUGCAAGCGUUGUCCGGAAUCAUUGGGCGUAAAGAGUUCGUAGGUGGUUCGUUAAGUCUGUUGUUAAAGGCGGAAGCUCAACUUCCGUAGGGCACUGGAUACUGGCGAGCUUGAUUGCGGUAGAGGUGAGGGGAAUUCCUGGUGUAGCGGUGAAAUGCGUAGAUAUCAGGAGGAACAUCGGUGGCGUAAGCGCCUCACUGGACCGUAAUUGACACUGAGGAACGAAAGCCGGGGUAGCAAAUGGGAUUAGAUACCCCUGUAGUC